rnacentral:rRNA from 1 species
GACGAACGCUGGCGGCGUGCUUAACACAUGCAAGUCGAACGGAAAGGCCCUGCUUUUGUGGGGUGCUCGAGUGGCGACCGGGUGAGUAACACGUGAGUAACCUGCCCUCGACUUUGGGAUAACUUCAGGAAACUGGGGCUAAUACUGGCUAGUAGCUCUUGCUGCAUGGUGGGGGUUGGAAAGUUUCGGCGGUUGGGGAUGGACUCGCGGCUUAUGAGCUUGUUGGUGGGGUUGUGGAUGACCAAGGCUUCGACGGCUAGCCGGCCUGAGAGGGUGACCGGCCACAUUGUGCUUGGGGUGGCGGCCGUACGGAAACGGGAGGAAUGGGUGAGAGAUAGAGGGCGCAACGCGGAGGGCUUGAGGAGGGACGCCGCGUGGGAAAUGACGGUUGUCGGGGUGUAACCCGCUGUAGCCGGAAACGAAGCGUGUGGAACGGAAAUGAGUAAAGAGGCACCGGCAAAUUAGGU